rnacentral:rRNA from 1 species
UACGUAGGGUGCGAGCGUUAAUCGGAAUUACUGGGCGUAAAGCGUGCGCAGGCGGUUCGUUGUGUCUGAUGUGAAAGCCCCGGGCUUAACCUGGGAAUGGCAUUGGAAACUGGCGAGCUUGAGUGUGGCAGAGGGGGGUGGAAUUCCGCGUGUAGCAGUGAAAUGCGUAGAGAUGCGGAGGAACACCGAUGGCGAAGGCAGCCCCCUGGGCCAACACUGACGCUCAGGCACGAGAGCGUGGGGAGCAAACAGG